rnacentral:rRNA from 1 species
CCCUUAGAUGUUCUGGGCCGCACGCGCGCUACACUGAUGAACGCAACGAGACCACCUGUACCGAAAGGCAUGGGUAAACUUGUGAAAGUUCAUCGUGAUGGGGAUAGAUUAUUGCAAUUAUUAAUCUUCAACGAGGAAUUCCUAGUAAGCGCGAGUCAUCAGCUUGCGUUGAUUACGUCCCUGCCCUUUGUACACACCGCCCGUCGCUCCUACCGAUUGAAUGGUCCGGUGAAGCGUUCGGACCGUGGCCUUUGGACGGUUCGCCGUCUGUUGGCUGCGGGAAGUUCGUUAAACCUUAUCAUUUAGAGGAAGGAGAAGUCGUAACA